rnacentral:rRNA from 1 species
AUGCACCUACGGGAGGCAGCAGUGAGGAAUAUUGGUCAAUGGUCGGGAGACUGAACUAGCCAAGCCGCGUGAGGGAUGAAGGUACAGAGUAUCGUAAACCUCUUUUGUCAGGGAACAAAGGCGGGGACGUGUCCCCGGAUGAGUGUACCCGACGAAAAAGCAUCGGCUAACUCCGUGCCAGCAGCCGCGGUAAUACGGAGGAUGCGAGCGUUAUCCGGAUUUAUUGGGUUUAAAGGGUGCGCAGGCGGUCUGUUAAGUCAGCGGUCAAAGCCCGGG